UACGUAGGGUGCAAGCGUUAAUCGGAAUUACUGGGCGUAAAGCGUGCGCAGGCGGUUUUGUAAGCCGGAUGUGAAAUCCCCGGGCUUAACCUGGGAAUGGCAUUCGGGACUGCAAGGCUGGAGUGCGGCAGAGGAGACUGGAAUUCCUGGUGUAGCAGUGAAAUGCGUAGAUAUCAGGAGGAACACCGAUGGCGAAGGCAGGUCUCUGGGCUGACACUGACGCUCAUGCACGAAAGCGUGGGGAGCAAA
rnacentral:rRNA from 1 species